GUAGAAGAAAAGGAAUGAUACCACAUUGAAGACAAUCUGCACCGUGAGAGAAGCUCAAGUCACCUACACAAUCAUGUUUGGAACCUAUAAGUGGAACCAAGAUUGCAAAGAAACAGGUAUGGAAGCCAGAAUGCCCAGAAUUAAACUGCCAGUAUAUUGAGUUCACCUGGUGUUGUUUUUCGAUUUGUGUUGACAUUGGAGUUAUGUGACAUUUUUAUGACUGAGGAAAGGAGUUUAAAUACUGUUUUGAGGAUGAUGUUACUGAAGUGAAGGUGACUGAAAUUUCUCAUAAAAUAUAAGCAGU